rnacentral:rRNA from 1 species
AUUGAACGCUGGCGGAAUGCUUUACACAUGCAAGUCGAACGGCAGCACGGACUUCGGUCUGGUGGCGAGUGGCGAACGGGUGAGUAAUGUAUCGGAACGUGCCCAGUCGUGGGGGAUAACGUAGUGAAAAUUACGCUAAUACCGCAUACGAUCUAUGGAUGAAUGCGGGGGAUAGCAAGACCUCGCCCGAUUGGAGCGGCCGAUAUCAGAUUAGGUAGUUGGUGGGGUAAAGGCCCACCAAGCCAACGAUCUGUAGCUGGUCUGAGAGGACGACCGGCCACACUGGAACUGAGACACGGUCCAGACUCCUACGGGAGGCAGCAGUGGGGAAUUUUGGACAAUGGGCGAAAGCCUGAUCCAGCCAUUCCGCGUGCAGGAUGAAGGCCCUCGGGUUGUAAACUGCUUUUGUACAGAACGAAAAGGUUUCUACUAAUACUAGGAGCUCAUGACGGUACUGUAAGAAUAAGCACCGGCUAACUACGUGCCAGCAGCCGCCGUAA